rnacentral:tRNA from 1 species
GCCGAGGUAGCUCAUUGGUAGAGCGCAGCCCUGAAGAGGCUGGCGUAGGGAGUUCGAUUCUCCCCCUCGGCA